rnacentral:rRNA from 1 species
UACAGAGGUUGCGAGCGUUAAUCGGAAUGACUGGGCGUAAAGGGCGCGUAGGUGGAUUGUUGUGUUGGAUGUGAAAGCCCCGGGCUUAACCUGGGAAUUGCAUACAAAACUGACAGUCUAGAGUGGAGCAGAGGUGAGUGGAAUUUCCGGAGUAGCGGUGAAAUGCGUAGAUACCGGAAGGAACACCAGUGGCGAAGGCGACUCACUGGGCUCAAACUGACACUGAGGCGCGAAAGCGUGGGGAGCAAACAGG